CCACAGAGUCAUGUGUGGAAGAGUGCAAAAGGUCUGUUUGUGUGCUAGAGAUUCGAAGAGUCCAGUGGAAAGUGUGAAGUCCAUUGUACUGUGCAUGAGUCUGUUAUCAGAAGGCAAAAGGAUCUUUAAUAGAAGGCUGAAGAGUCCGUGCUGGAAACCAGGAGACAACGUCCAAGAUGAAGGUGAACACUGGAGCCCCUCUGAAGAAACAAAAAAAGUGAGAGUUUCUCAUGCACAGAAUGUGCAUUAGUGGUGAUGGAAUUUCUUCUAGGAGACAGAGAAACCCACAGUAAUGGAUUAAAAGAGUGCAAUUUUGAAGAAAAGAGGGAAGAUGGGAGAAGUGAAUAGUCAGCUAUAUUCAUGGUGUUGAAGAAAGAAUUUGGUUUGCUGGGAUACAGCCUGUGAUAACAGAACAAGGCCUGGAAAGAAACAGGUUAUGUCUGGCUGGAGAGUGAUUGGCAUUAACAAGGAAUAUUACCACAUAGGUUAAGAUCUGGCCAUGGAGUUCAAGCUGGCCUUGGACUGACUGUAUAAUCAUAGGCUGGCCUCCAACUCACAGCAAUCCUCCUGUCUCAGCCUCUCAAGCACUGGAUUACAGGAAUGUGCCACCAUGCUCAGCGAAUUUUCUGUUUUUAUCCAAGUUUUCAGUUUGAUUUAUUUUAUCUACCUCCUCAACAUUGCUUUCUAACUCUUUUUUCUCUUAUAUUAAGCUCUUUUCUUUCCCUCAUUGGUUCUUUUUUUCUUUUUUAAAUUAGCAUCACUGAUGUUUCCUGUAGAUUCAUUUUUUUUAAGUCUUUUAUUUGUUUUUCAUUCAGUUUGUUUUCUAUUCCUUGCAUGUUUUCUGUUUUUCCCAAAUUGUUGUUUUUAUUUUCUUCUCUUAUAUAACUUUUUUACAAUGUUUAAUGAGCUUUCAUUAUAUGCUUAGAUUUUAAAUGUAGGCCACUAAAAAAGCAUGCACAUGUUUGUACAACUUGGUAUGAAUAAAUAUGUUACUGUGGAAAAAAUCUAGCUGGCUGAUGCCUCAGAUCAUCCCUGAUACAGGAAACUAGAAUUAUUUUUCUUUUCUCUUUGGUCUGGUUAAACUUCUAUAAGGAUUUCUGGUCUUUCUCCUGAAGGUUAAAUGUUUGGCAGCUUAAGAUCCCUGGGUAGUUACCAACCAGGAGCUUUCAAACUACCAUAUUUCCUUUAUGUUUUUUAGUUGAUAUCUUUAAAAUAUUUUUAUUAUUAUUAUAGUGAUG
rnacentral:lncRNA from 1 species